rnacentral:rRNA from 1 species
UACGAAGGGGGCUAGCGUUGCUCGGAAUCACUGGGCGUAAAGCGCACGUAGGCGGAUUGUUAAGUCAGGGGUGAAAUCCUGGAGCUCAACUCCAGAACUGCCUUUGAUACUGGCGAUCUUGAGUCCGGGAGAGGUGAGUGGAACUCCGAGUGUAGAGGUGAAAUUCGUAGAUAUUCGGAAGAACACCAGUGGCGAAGGCGGCUCACUGGCCCGGUACUGACGCUGAGGUGCGAAAGCGUGGGGAGCAAACA